rnacentral:rRNA from 1 species
CGUUUUUUGAUUAUAAUAUAAGAUUUGUUCUGCUCCAUGAUUAUUUAAAUAGCCGCAGUAUUUUAACUGUGCAAAGGUAGCAUAAUAAUUUGUUUAUUAAUUGUAAACUGGAAUGAAGGAAUAGAUAAAAUAUCUACUUUAUUAAUAUUAUAAAAAUUAAUUUAAUUUUUUAGUAAAAAAGCUAAAGUAAUUUUUGGGGACGAGAAGACCCUAUAGAACUUUAUAUUAAAAUGAAUAUAUUAAAUUUAUAUUUUUAAAUAUUUAUUAUAAUAAUUUAUUGGGAGGAUAAUUAAAUUUUUAAACUUUAAUAAAUUUAAUCCAUUGAUAAAUGAAGAGUUGAUUUUAGGUAUAAAAUUUAAGAUAAAUUACCUUAGGGAUAACAGUGUAAUAUUUUUAGAAAGUCCAUAUUAAUAAGAAUGUUUACAACCUCGAUGUUGAAUUUAGGUUUAAUUAAAUAGAAGUUUAUUUAAGUUUUAGUCUGUUCGACUAUUAAAAUCUAACAU